rnacentral:rRNA from 1 species
GACGAACGCUGGCGGCGUGCUUAACACAUGCAAGUCGAACGGAAAGGCCCUGCUUUUGUGGGGUGCUCGAGUGGCGAACGGGUGAGUAACACGUGAGUAACCUGCCCUUGACUUUGGGAUAACUUCAGGAAACUGGGGCUAAUACCGGAUAGGAGCUCCUGCUGCAUGGUGGGGGUUGGAAAGUUUCGGCGGUUGGGGAUGGACUCGCGGCUUAUCAGCUUGUUGGUGGGGUAGUGGCUUACCAAGGCUUUGACGGGUAGCCGGCCUGAGAGGGUGACCGGCCACAUUGGGACUGAGAUACGGCCCAGACUCCUACGGGAGGCAGCAGUGGGGAAUAUUGCACAAUGGGCGGAAGCCUGAUGCAGCAACGCCGCGUGCGGGAUGACAGCCUUCGGGUUGUAAACCGCUUUCGCCUGUGACGAAGCGCGAGUGACGGUAAUGGGUAAAGAAGCACCGGCUAACUACGUG